rnacentral:ribozyme from 13 species
AAAAGAAAAAAGAAAAAAACAAACGAACAACAAACACAAAAAGAGAUCUCUUUUUCCCUCUCUCUCUUAUUUUUUUCUCCCCUUUUCUUUCUCUUU